UGCAAGUCGAACGGCAGCGCGGGAGCAAUCCUGGCGGCGAGUGGCGAACGGGUGAGUAAUACAUCGGAACGUGCCCAAUCGUGGGGGAUAACGCAGCGAAAGCUGUGCUAAUACCGCAUACGAUCUACGGAUGAAAGCAGGGGAUCGCAAGACCUUGCGCGAAUGGAGCGGCCGAUGGCAGAUUAGGUAGUUGGUGAGGUAAAGGCUCACCAAGCCUUCGAUCUGUAGCUGGUCUGAGAGGACGACCAGCCACACUGGGACUGAGACACGGCCCAGACUCCUACGGGAGGCAGCAGUGGGGAAUUUUGGACAAUGGGCGAAAGCCUGAUCCAGCCAUGCCGCGUGCAGGAUGAAGGCCUUCGGGUUGUAAACUGCUUUUGUACGGAACGAAACGGCCUUUUCUAAUAAAGAGGGCUAAUGACGGUACCGUAAGAAUAAGCACCGGCUAACUACGUGCCAGCAGCCGCGGUAAUACGUAGGGUGCAAGCGUUAAUCGGAAUUACUGGGCGUAAAGCGUGCGCAGGCGGUAAUGUAAGACAGUUGUGAAAUCCCCGGGCUCAACCUGGGAACUGCAUCUGUGACUGCAUUGCUGGAGUACGGUAGAGGGGGGAUGGAAUUCCGCGUGUAGCAGUGAAAUGCGUAGAUAUGCGGAGGAACACCGAUGGCGAAGGCAAUCCCCUGGACCUGUACUGACGCUCAUGCACGAAAGCGUGGGGGAGCAAACAGGAUUAGAUACCCUGGUAGUCCACGCCCUAAACGAUGUCAACUGGGUUGUUGGGUCUUCACCUGACUCAGUAA
rnacentral:rRNA from 1 species